GCUGUCUCUCCGCCGCUCUUCCCGCCAGAAUAUAAUCUGGGCGCAAAAAGCUUUUAAUCCGAUUAUGAAUCCUUAAUCACAAGAACGAUUCUGAGUGACAACUUUACGCUCAUGAGUGUAAUUGAAGUGGGAGAAGAAUUAACACUAGUUACCUAGCACAAUAAGUACAUGUGGUGGAGUCGGCGUCACCCACGAGAGGAGUAUCAGCUGAAGUGUUUCAUCUAUGUUCAUACUGGUUGUCCAGACCAAAAUCAACUAUACAGAUAAGCUGUGGUUGUGUUAAAUUUAUUUACCAACAUAUGUAGUCUUAUACUGUAGUGAAUGUCUACUAAUCAAUAAUUUUGAUUGAUAGACUAUGUAUAUAAACCAUAAACCCCCAGAAUGUGUAGGAAAGCAAUUUGUGGUAAUUUUAAAUAAUACAGUCCAAUUUAAACAUCAUACAGUUUGAUAUCGAAAAACAUAAAUUAACGUAAAAUAUAAAUUACUAUAUAAAUUAAUAUAAACUAAAUAAAUAUAAAUCCCAAGAGUAAUUUUACCCACAGGUGGCAUGUUUACACAUCAUGAGGAGACUACACAUCUGGCUGGCUGAACUGUAAUUACACAAGUGUGUGAUCCUCCAGAUGAUCUGGGAGAACUGAUGCGUGGAACAGAAGACCAAGGUCCAAUGAUGGACAGAGCAUACCACAUGACAGGAAAGAGAAUCUUGGUUUUACUCGUAAGCAGCGGUGGACCAAUUGUGCAUCAUUCCUUUUGCUCGCCUCUAUGCACCUAGAAAAACACUUGAAAUCUUGAUCCCCAUCAUUGUAAUAUAAGGCUUUGAGAUGGAGAGCUUUUAUUCUGCAGACGAAGGUUAGAUGUUUAGCACAAUUUAGUGGACAAAAAGUUCUGAAGGUCCGUUUUUACUUUUACUAUACAAAUUAAAAUUUUCAUUGCUUCUCACCAGG